rnacentral:rRNA from 1 species
AGGACGAACGCUGGCGGCGUGCUUAACACAUGCAAGUCGAGCGGUAAGGCUCCUUCGGGAGUACACGAGCGGCGAACGGGUGAGUAACACGUGAGCAAUCUGCCCUUCACACUGGGAUAACCCCCGGAAACGGGAGCUAAUACCGGAUACGACCACUUCAGGCAUCUGACGGUGGUGGAAAGUUCUGGCGGUGAAGGAGGAGCCCGCGGCCUAUCAGCUUGUUGGUGAGGUAACGGCUCACCAAGGCUUUGACGGGUAGCUGGUCUGAGAGGACGACCAGCCACACUGGGACUGAGACACGGCCCAGACACCUACGGGUGGCAGCAGUCGAGAAUUUUUCUCAAUGGGGGAAACCCUGAAGGAGCGACGCCGCGUGGAGGAUGAAGGUCUUCGGGUUGUAAACUCCUGUCAUUUGGGAACAAGGCGUAGGUAUUAACUGUAUCUACGUUGAUAGUACCAGAAGAGGAAGAGACGGCUAACUCUGUGCCAGCAGCCGC